AGGAACAGCUGUUGUCUCCAUGAGUUUUUUGGUGGAUGAAUCCAGAAGCUGACAUCUAAAUUGGCAUCUGACUGCACAGCAUCCAUGUGCAUCAACAUUGUGCAGCAACAACAUGCAUGAUAGAGCCCAGUUUUGUGCUCCUGCUGCAGUAUUUCUUCUCUAACUCUCCCCUUGAACUCCCCUACCCAUCCUCACAGGGCCCCUGAAUUCUAUGGGAAAACUCUGUACAACUACACGCGUAUUAGAAAUUCCUGGUACUUCUGCCCAUCCUUAAGAUUCAAACAGAUUAGACAUCACUCUACAUUUUAUGGCACUGUUUUUGUUUGAGAAUUUAGUUGGAAUGCAGUUGUGUGACUUCGUAUAAAUACAAACUGCUGAUAUUGACAUAUAUUUGUUCAAAAAUAUCUGAUUGUUAUUUAAUGUACCUCUUAAAUUAGAAGAAACAAUUGCAGGUCAACUCUGAAGAGUAUUUGAAAACUCGACUUUGCAUCAAUGUUUGAUGCUAAAAAAAUUUUUAAGGAUUCAAAUUAGAAAGAUCCUUGGCUGCAGGCAGCAAAACAGCUGGACUUAUUUAAAAACAACUUGCUUUUGAGUUUUAAAAAGAUUUUUUUUUGCUUAUUUGUUAUACAUGAAUGCAGUAGCACUUUGGUAUAAAAAAUUACAAAUUAAACAAUUUAUGUUGUUAGUCAAACCAUUUUCAUCUAAUGAAAGAGCUAUAUCAUGAGUCAGAAAAACAGACUGUUGUUGAUUUUUGAAUUUUAGGUCUAAAACUCUUUUUAGUUCAGUUUCAUGUUUGAUUACAUACUAUAUUUGCUAGCAGCAAAAAUGGUCCACAAUGAUAACAAAUUUUUAAUUUUUAUUUCAAGAGAAACUUCAGUUUAUAUUCCCAGAUUAAACAACAUUAUUUUCAUAAGAUUUUUGGCCACCUUGUCCCUCAUGGCCUUAGAUAGCAUCUCACAGAAAGCUGAAAAUUUUCAAUCCUUCCCAGUAAGAAUCUUAUAUCUCUAGGAAAUCCAUCUUGAAUUCAACCUAGUACCCAGUACAAAAAUAAAAGUAAAUAUUCCCUUCAGUUAAGCCUUCAUUUAAAAAAAAAAAGCAGGUAUGAUUUCUUAACUAUCUAAUAGAAUCCCAAGUUAUUAAUCCUUUGAAUUGGUCAUUGAGAAUGUCAUUCCUAAUAUACAAAAACAAACAAUAUUUAGGUUUUUUUAAGUCAACUAAAUUUUUGUUGUUUAUUACAAAGUAGUUUCACUCAGACUUCAAAACUAUUUUCCUUAAGGAGCUCCCUUAAAGACCUACAGAGAUUACAAAAAUGAAAACAAAAAACAAAGUGUACUAUUUCAAGCAUAUCAGUUGAAUUUCCCUACAAUGGCCAAUAAUUGAAUUUCAUGAUGCCAAAGGAUUAUAGAUUCAGAGCUGGAAAGGACCUUAAAAAACCAUCUAAUACAAUACAUUCAUUUUUUUUCUGGUGAGAAAAUGAAGCCAGUAAGAUUAAGUGACUUACCCAAAGUGUAGAAAACAUUUGGUGAAUUGAAAAAGAAAAUUUGGAUAAAUUAUUAUUCAUUGUAUCAUGAAUUCGACUUGCUAAUAUUUCUCAGUUCUUUGCUUUUCCCCAAUUCUAAACAGUUUCAUCUCCUCUGUAGUGUGUGUGUGUUUGUGUGUGUGUGUGUGUGUGUGUGUGUGUGUGUCUGGCUCUGUGUAUUUCUUCUGUCUGUCUCUGUAUAUCUAUGUCUCUGUAUACCUCUCUGUAUCUGUAUCUCUGUCUCUGCAUGUGGUCUGUUUUUCACUCUUUAUCUAUUUCUUUCCUCCCCCAUCACCCUUCCUUUCUUCUCUCUGUCUCUCUAAUUCUGUCUCUUUCUCUGGGCCUCUGUCUCUGUCUGUCUCUAUGUCUUCCUUUCAAAUGUCUCUCUGACUCUGUCCCUCUGUCUCUGUCUCCCCCCAUACACACACUCUUUUUUCCCUGAACUAUCAAACUAUAAGGGCUUUCUCUAAAUAACAAAUAUGGUAAACAUAAAACUCCCAGACUCUCUUCCUUUAACUAAAGGAAGACAAUGAGUCAGCCUUUCUCCUGAAUGUAAGGUUUCUUUUUGCAAAACAGAUUUUGCCAGCCAUUUUGGAUCUAUUCUGCUAUCCAAAUGCAGAAACACUUGGAAACAGAAGCCUACAGUACAAAUUAAAAUCAGAGAGUAAAUAGACAGCAUUUCUGCUGCUUGGGGUUUCUUUGUAGAUAAACAGAAAUGCUCUGAUUAAAAAGAAAAUGAAUGGUUUCACUAAAGCAACCUGUAAUUUAGAAUUGAGUAUUUCUAUCUUGAAAUACCUGUUUUCUUGGGACAUUCCGUCCUGUUUUUUCCAUACCUGAAAGUUAGUUUGACAAUCUCAG
ensembl:lncRNA